UACGUAGGGUGCGAGCGUUAAUCGGAAUUACUGGGCGUAAAGCGUGCGCAGGCGGUGAUGUAAGUCAGAUGUGAAAUCCCCGGGCUCAACCUGGGAACUGCAUUUGAGACUGCAUCGCUGGAGUGCGGCAGAGGGGGAUGGAAUUCCGCGUGUAGCAGUGAAAUGCGUAGAUAUGCGGAGGAACACCGAUGGCGAAGGCAAUCCCCUGGGCCUGCACUGACGCUCAUGCACGAAAGCGUGGGGAGCAAACAGG
rnacentral:rRNA from 1 species